rnacentral:rRNA from 1 species
AUUGAACGCUGGCGGCAUGCUUUACACAUGCAAGUCGAACGGUAACAGGCCGCAAGGUGCUGACGAGUGGCGAACGGGUGAGUAAUGCAUCGGAACGUGCCCAGUCGUGGGGGAUAACUACUCGAAAGAGUAGCUAAUACCGCAUACGAUCUAUGGAUGAAAGCGGGGGACCGUAAGGCCUCGGGCGAUUGGAGCGGCCGAUGUCAGAUUAGGUAGUUGGUGGGGUAAAGGCUCACCAAGCCAACGAUCUGUAGCUGGUCUGAGAGGACGACCAGCCACACUGGGACUGAGACACGGCCCAGACUCCUACGGGAGGCAGCAGUGGGGAAUUUUGGACAAUGGGCGCAAGCCUGAUCCAGCAAUGCCGCGUGCAGGAAGAAGGCCUUCGGGUUGUAAACUGCUUUUGUACGGAACGAAACGGCUCUGGUUAAUACCCGGGGCUAAUGACGGUACCGUAAGAAUAAGCACCGGCUAACUACGUG